CAAGACAAUGGGUUCAGUGCUCAGCAGAACUUGAGCCAACAGAGCACCUGGUCCCGACACUGGGCAAGCAGACCGUCCCUUCCCUCAGCAGCACCCGGCCCUGCCUUGCCAGUCUCCCGCUGGCAGCUAACAGUUUUUCGUUUUUUUGUUUGUUUUUCAAGACAGGGUUUCUCUGUGUAGCCCUGGCUGUUACAGCACUUGCUUUGUAGACCAGGCUGACCUUGAACUCACUGAGAUCUGCCUGACUAGCUGAGGAUGUCUUGCAGAGCCCCGACCUGUCUUUCCUCCUGCAUUAGCUCCUCCUGGCCCUGCACAGGGUCAGUCCCUUCUGUGCAAUGGCUUCCCCAGGCUUCGGAGAACCAGGCGUGUGCCUCAGGGGCCACCCAUUUCCUACUCUUUCAUCACCUACACCCAGCACUUGUGUUCCAAUUCUAACGUCUGCCUGCCUUAGUGAAACAGUGUUCACAGCUACUUCCUCUUCCCAGGACGUCUCCAGGCCUCAAGACCGGCUCUAAGAUGGACCCAGCUCUGCCCCAGAGGGCUCCGUGCAUGCUUCUGCAAGGCCUAAGACUCAGCCUCCUAACUGCCCAUGGGAACUGCAUGGUCUCCUCAGUGCUGACAUGCACUGCCACGCCCGGCACAACUCCACAAUCUCUUUCCUCUGUACCUGGGAAACCAGGUGUCUCAGUAGCCCCUAACAUCAAAGCCUAGCAGGAUUUCCCCUCAAAUCUACGGCCUCCUACACGCUAGGCAAAUAUUCUACCUCAAGUCUGCUACCCAGGCUGCUCUGAGCUUGAUGAGGCAGGUCUUGGACUUGCAACCCUCUGGCAUCGGCCUCCCGGCAGCUAGGUGAGAAGCUACGCCACCAGGCUCCACAGGAGUGUUUCAUGCGUCACCACCUCCCCCGGCCCAGAGUAGCCAGUAGUAAACUCAACUGUUUCCUGAUGAAAGACUUCACGUCCCAGCCUCCUUUGAGGACUAUGGACAUCAUUUCUGCCCCUCUAAGAUAUGGGGCCACAUCCCAUCUACCUCUGCUGGCAUUCUGGCCAUCUGCACACACGGGUGACAAAGCCCUCUGUGAGUAAACACAAUCCUGCCUAAA